rnacentral:lncRNA from 1 species
CAUAAAUACUUUUCAGUAUGAAUAAUAUUACUCGUGACUUAAGGACUUAUGAUUUUGUAUUAGAUAGCGAGUCUCUCAGUAUGUUCUAACUACUGUUUAUAUUAUAUUUUGUUAUAUGACUUUUGUUUAUUUUUAAUGCACUUCUUUUAAGUAACUUAUUUAAGAUUUCAUUAUGCGCUAAUAUUCUAAGAGAAGUCUUAAAAGAGAAAAAGAAACUUUGAUCUCAGAUUUGAACUAACACAAUGGAAGCAAGGGUCCAGAAUCUGACAAAAUAGUCAUGAAUAAUUUCUCAUGGAGGGGACACACUGCUGAUGAGAGAAAAUUGAUAAUGGUCUUCUAAAAUCUCAUCGAGAAACCUAGAAACCGGAAGAGAUUCACUAUGGUUGAAAACAAUACAAAACUACUUGAUGGAAUAAAGGUGAAGUUGGUUAUGAAGCAAGAUAUAACCAAGAUGGCAGCUGCCUGCACACAACUCAGAAGCUUGUUCAACCUAUGUGUCAGGUGUCUCAUGAUGCAGUGCAAAGUUAGACUGCACCAUCUUGUGAGAUUUCCCACUGAAGAACACUAGAUCAUGUCUCAAGAUAACUAAGAGUAUAGAAUAUAGAGAAGAAUACAUAGUCAUUACAGGAAGACUAACCAAUUACAACAGAGACAUUAUGCAAUUGAAAUUCUGAUUUAAAAAAAACUAUAUAAAUGACACUGUUCCUUGUAAUGAUCUCAUUUUCUACUUAGAUGCAAAGGAAAGAAGAGUUAAGAAAAGAAGGCCUUUCAUAACAUAUUGUUCCACAGGGGCUCUGAGCCCCACCAGGACAAAGUUUUCACAGUUGCUAGAGUUAACAAGACACGAAACCUACUAGGAAAAGACCUGACUUCUAUUUGCCAUGAUGGAAAACUCCCCACAGUAAUUCUGGAAUGUUUUAUGUUACUAUCUGCCUUAUGGACAAGAUCCUGCUUCUUAAAUGAACCCUAAUCUCUUCAAUUCCAUCAGCAUGAAGAGAAACAAUUGUGCAUCAAAUCAUUGGCUAUACAAUAAGGAUAUGCUGUCUCUCAACAAAGAAAAUGGAACCAAAACUGAGGGUAUAUUGGCAAUAUCACUAAACAUAGCAUCAUGUCAAACAAUAAAGAAGUUGGAUUGUGAAAAAGAUGUAAACAUAAAAACAAUCCAUCUGUGCAUAUGGUAG